rnacentral:rRNA from 1 species
GUGGAUUAGAUACCCCAGUAGUCCACGCCCUAAACGAUGCGAACUGGAUGUUGGGUGCAAUUUGGCACUCAGUAUCGAAGCUAACGCGUUAAGUUCGCCGCCUGGGGAGUACGGUCGCAAGACUGAAACUCAAAGGAAUUGACGGGGGCCCGCACAAGCGGUGGAGUAUGUGGUUUAAUUCGAUGCAACGCGAAGAACCUUACCUGGCCUUGACAUGCACGGAACUUUCCAGAGAUGGAUUGGUGCCUUCGGGAACCGUGACACAGGUGCUGCACGGUCGUCGCCAACU